UUUGGCCUCCUAACAUGGUUGACGGGGCAUAAGGAGGAGGAGGAAGGGCAUCUGACUGGGCGCUGUUGCAGUCCAUCGACUGUUUUCUUCUGAGGGAAAGGUCAGAGGAUACAGUACGGAGGGACACCUGCUGAAGCAACUUCAUGCAAAUACGUCUCCUGUCCUGCAGAGGAGAAAAGGUGGGAAACCAAAUUGGAUCGAAUGUAAUUCAGUUCACCAAGCAGGGAAUGAAUCGAUAAUGCUGAGGAAUGGCUUUCGAAGGACUGAGUGCCAACCUUAGAGAAUUCCAGCCACCAUCUACUAAGUAAGAGGAUACCCUAGCAAAGCAACUGCUGGAAUGCCUACAGUACAAGAGAUUCCACAGCGGACAUAAAAAAGGAUAAACAUAAAAAGCAUGGCGCACCCAAGGCUUUAUCAUGGGUUUGGUGUUCUGUGUAAUUAUAAUAUAACAAGGACUUUUUUCUGUCAAACUACAAACUUCCUACCAAUUUGCUGUCUCUUUGUUUCUUACCUCUCCUUCAAAAGUUAGGGCAAGUAAAAAUGUGCUUGUUGCGCAGUGUUCUUUUACAUUAAGAUACACAGGAUUGUCAAACAGCCAUACCAGGCUCACUAUUGGGCUGCAACUAUUCUGCAUAUAAUAGCCCUAACAGGGAUAGAUAAAGUUGUGUUAAAUUGAACUGAAUUGAUUUUCACAUGGCAAGAGGGGUCACUGAAUGGUUUUAUGAGUAUAUUAAUGAUUGUAAUCAUAUGUUAUGGCCUUUGCCGAUGGGCAGAUUUUAAAUCGGUGUGCAUUUCAGAGGUCCAGAGUUUCAGAGAUUGUUUCAAAGGGGCCUUUAAGCUGGUGGCUCGA